AUGAGAGUUCUAGAAUGUAUGUUCCUCCUGGCUCUCAUCUCAGCUGUUCAGGGGCAGUCACUCACCUCCUCUGAGCCAAUGGGAAAGAGACCUGGAGAGUCAGUAACACUGUCCUGUACAGCUUCUGGAAUCUCCAUGGGUAGGUACUGGAUGCAAUGGCUCCAUCAGAAAAAGACAAGAGUAGAUUGGGAAAGGACAAGAGUGGAUUGGGCAAAUUGAUUGGGGCACUGGCACUAUACUUGCCCAGUCUCUUCGGGGAAGUUCACCAUAACCAAACAUAGCUCCAAAAACCAGCUGUGUUUCAAGGUGAAAAGCCUGAAGACUGAAGACUGUUGAGUGUUAUUAUAGUGACACACGAUGCUGCAGUGCCAUACACAAACUGAUUAACACUGAUCUCAGUGUGUGGCAAAAAGGUAUGUCUGUUCUUUGAUGUUAGGGAGGCUGCGAAUUUUCGCAGCUUUUUGUUAAAAAUCGCGCAAGAUUUCAACGUCCUGCUACUCAUGCAAGGAAUAUAGUAAAUGCAUAUGAUUAGUAUGUGUGGAUAGAAAACACUCUGAAGUCUCUAAAACUGGUUAAAUCAUGUCUGUGGCUAUAACAGAACGUGUUUAGGAGACAAAAUCGCAAGGAAAACUGUUCACCAAAAACACACAAAAAAUAUCCAUCCGCCAGUCUCUGUAUUGUCUAUGGCAAGGGAAAAUAGAUAGAGCCCCGUUUACAAUGCCUACCGCUUUCGCACAAUUUUGCCAGUACUGGCAAUUCAGUUGUAGUUUAUCCUUGGUGGGAUGACGAAUAGGCACUUCCUGUCUUGGGGUCCACCGAAGGAAGUUAUGAAAGGGAGAAUAUGGACGAUGAUUUCAAGACUUGCUGCUAUCGAAUACAGAUCGCCCCGUGAUCAAUUUGAUCGAUUAUUAACGUUUAUUAAUACCUAAAGAUGGUUUACAAAGGUAGUUUGAAGUGUUUUGUCAAAGUUUAUAGGCAACUUUUUUAAUUUAAAAAAACGCUGUUGCGUUUUAGAAAGGUGCUUUUUUCCUGGAUCAGACGGGCUUCAUAAAUGGACAUUUUGGGUAUACAUGGACGGAUUUAAUCCAAAAAAAAGACCCAAUUGUGAUGUUUAUGGGACAUAUAGGAGUGCCAACAAAGAAGCUCGUCAAAGGUAAUGAAUGUUUUAUAUUUUAUUUCUGCGUUUUGUGUAGCGCCGGCUACGCUAAUUAUUUCUGUUUACGUCCCAUUUGGUUAUUUCGGGGGUUGCAUGCUAUCAGAUAAUAGCUUCUCAUGCUUUCGCCGAAAAGCAUUUUACAAAUCCGACAUGUUGGCUAGAUUCACAACGAGUGUAGCUUUAAUUGAGUACCCUGCAUGUGUGUUUUAAUUAAAGUUUGAGUUGUAUCGAGGACUAUUAGUUGGCGCUCUGAAAUUUCCACUGAUUUGGUCCCUGUACAGGGACAGCAGCUGUAAAAGGUUUUAAACACACAUACUCAACAGUAGUGAAAAAAAACACUGAUAUCAAUAUUAUCCCUAUAAACGAAUCCUGACUGUCUGUAGUUUAAUACUUAUGGCUGUGUUCAUACAAGGUGUGUUCAUACAAGGUGUGUUCAUAUGUGAGUCUGUUGUGUCCACUACAAUCACUCUCAGACAAUAGGCUUUUAAAAUAGUUUUAAUUGUGACUUUAACUAACAAACUACAGAAUUAUGACCUACAGAUUAAAGCGACUGGAUGUGUUCGAACUU
ensembl:lncRNA